UUUAAACUGUUUAAUUGGGAUCUCAUGAUGAAGUCCUCAUUUUUCAGUUUUUCAUUGGGAUCUCAUGACGAAGUCCUCAGUUCUCACUGUUUCACUGGGAUCUCUGUGGUCACAAAGUCCUCGUGCUCACUGUGUCAUUGGGUUCUCUGUGGUGACAAAGUCCUCGUUCUCACUGUUUCACCCUCGUUCUCACUGUUUCAUUGGGUUCUCUGUGGUCACAAAGUCCUCGUUCUCACUGUGUCGUUGGGUUCUCUGUGGUCACAAAGUCCUCGUUCUCACUGUUUCACCCUCGUUCUCACUGUGUCGUUGGGUUCCCUGUGCUGACAAAGCCCUCGGACUUUUCACGGGUAUCUCGAUGGUCAUGAAGUCCUCAGCCAGCGUCACCUCCUGGCUGCCCAUGACGGCCUCGGCCUCGCUCCGGAGGGCUCCCAUGUCAUCCCCGCCGCGGUACCGCUNGAGAUCCCACAGGGAGAUAAACCCACUGAGAACACUGACAACUGAGCGGCACGCUAAUUUAAUCCAGGUUUCAUUAGCAGUCAGGAUCACCGGGUGAUUUGUACCCAGGCUUUGAGGAGAGGGGAGCAGGCUAAGCCAGGACACAGGGUCUGAUAGAAAAGAGGCAGCUGUAAUUUGUUCUAAAACGCCAAAAUACACUAUAAAUGGAAAGUGCAGCAACUCUGCAUAACCCAGCGCUGGGUGUGUGAUGUGCCCAAGAGCAAUCCGUGUUUGAAUCCACAGCAGUGACCUGGCUUUGAGUGCAGACCCAGAGCCUGCAGCUCUCCUGAAAGGAGCAUCCCCUCCCUGGGCUUUCCCUGUGGAAUAAAUGGCAUUGGAAUUGCA
rnacentral:lncRNA from 1 species